rnacentral:rRNA from 1 species
GUGGGGAAUAUUGGACAAUGGGGGGAACCCUGAUCCAGCCAUGCCGCGUGUGUGAAGAAGGCCUUUUGGUUGUAAAGCACUUUAAGCGAGGAGGAGGCUACCGAGAUUAAUACUCUUGGAUAGUGGACGUUACUCGCAGAAUAAGCACCGGCUAACUCUGUGCCAGCAGCCGCGGUAAUACAGAGGGUGCAAGCGUUAAUCGGCUUUACUGGGCGUAAAGCGCGCGUAGGUGGCCAAUUAAGUCAAAUGUGAAAUCCCCGAGCUUAACUUGGGAAUGGCCUUCGAUACUGGUUGGCUAGAGUAUGGGAGAGGAUGGUAGAAUUCCAGGUGUAGCGGUGAAAUGCGUAGAGAUCUGGAGGAAUACCGAUGGCGAAGGCAGCCAUCUGGCCUAAUACUGACACUGAGGUGCGAAAGCAUGGGGAGCAAACAGGAUUAGAUACCCCAGUAGUCC